CAACGAUGAAGAGUUUGAUCCUGGCUCAGGAUGAACGCUAGCGGCAGGCCUAACACAUGCAAGUCGAGGGGUAACAGGGAGUGCUUGCACUCCGCUGACGACCGGCGCACGGGUGCGCACCGCGUAUGGAACCUACCUUUUGCAGGGGAAUAGCCCAGGGAAACUUGGAUUAAUGCCCCGUAGUAUCACGACACCACCUGGUGAUGUGAUUAAAGGCUUCGGCCGGCAAGAGAUGGCCAUGCGUCCCAUUAGUUUGAUGGUAAGGUAACGGCUUACCAUGACUACGAUGGGUAGGGGCCCUGAGAGGGGGAUCCCCCACACUGGUACUGAGACACGGACCAGACUCCUACGGGAGGCAGCAGUGAGGAAUAUUGGACAAUGGAGGAGACUCUGAUCCAGCCAUGCCGCGUGCAGGAAGACGGCCCUAUGGGUUGUAAACUGCUUUUAUACGGGAAGAAAAACAGCUACGUGUAGUUGACUGACGGUACCGUAAGAAUAAGGACCGGCUAACUCCGUGCCAGCAGCCGCGGUAAUACGGAGGGUCCGAGCGUUAUCCGGAAUUAUUGGGUUUAAAGGGUCCGUAGGCGGGCCAUUAAGUCAGGGGUGAAAGUCUGCAGCUCAACUGUAGAAUUGCCUUUGAUACUGGUGGUCUUGAGUUAUGGUGAAGUGGCUGGAAUAUGUAGUGUAGCGGUGAAAUGCAUAGAUAUUACAUAGAACACCGAUUGCGAAGGCAGGUCACUAACCAUAUACUGACGCUGAUGGACGAAAGCGUGGGGAGCGAACAGGAUUAGAUACCCUGGUAGUCCACGCCGUAAACGAUGGAUACUAGCUGUCCGGUACCUUGAGUACUGGGCGGCCAAGCGAAAGUGAUAAGUAUCCCACCUGGGGAGUACGUUCGCAAGAAUGAAACUCAAAGGAAUUGACGGGGGCCCGCACAAGCGGUGGAGCAUGUGGUUUAAUUCGAUGAUACGCGAGGAACCUUACCAGGGCUUAAAUGCAUUUUGACAGGUCUAGAGAUAGAUUUUCCUUCGGGCAAUUUGCAAGGUGCUGCAUGGUUGUCGUCAGCUCGUGCCGUGAGGUGUCAGGUUAAGUCCUAUAACGAGCGCAACCCCUACCGUUAGUUGCCAGCGAGUCAUGUCGGGGACUCUAACGGGACUGCCGGUGCAAACCGUGAGGAAGGUGGGGAUGACGUCAAAUCAUCACGGCCCUUACGUCCUGGGCCACACACGUGCUACAAUGGCCGGUACAGAGAGCAGCCAUGUCGCAAGGCAGAGCGAAUCUACAAAACCGGUCACAGUUCGGAUCGGGGUCUGCAACUCGACCCCGUGAAGCUGGAAUCGCUAGUAAUCGGAUAUCAGCCAUGAUCCGGUGAAUACGUUCCCGGGCCUUGUACACACCGCCCGUCAAGCCAUGGAAGCCGGGAGUGCCUGAAGUCCGUCACCGUAAGGAGCGGCCUAGGGCAAGAUCGGUAACUAGGGCUAAGUCGUAACAAGGUAGCCGUACCGGAAGGUGCGGCUGGAACACCUCCUUUCU
rnacentral:rRNA from 1 species